UGUAUGUAUGUAUGGUCUCUUCAUAUGUA
rnacentral:piRNA from 1 species